rnacentral:rRNA from 1 species
ACUCCUACGGGAGGCAGCAGUGGGGAAUAUUGCACAAAUGGGCGCAAGCCUGAUGCAGCCAUGCCGCGUGUAUGAAGAAGGCCUUCGGGUUGUAAAGUACUUUCAGCAGUGAGGAAGUGGUGUAGUUAAUAGCAUACUCAUUUGACGUUAGCUGCGAAGAAGAAGCGAACCGGCUAACUCCGUGCCAGCAGCCGCGGUAAUACGGAGGGUGCGAGCGUUAAUCGGAAUUACUGGGCGUAAAGCGCAUGCAGGUGGUUUGUUAAAGUCAGAUGUGAAAGCCCGGGGCUCAACCUCGGAAUUGCAUUUGAAACUGGCAAACUAGAGUACUGUAGAGGGGGGUAGAAUUUCAGGUGUAGCGGUGAAAAUGCGUAGAGAUCUGAAGGAAUACCGGUGGCGAAGGCGGCCCCCUGGACAGAUACUGACACUCAGAUGCGAAAGCGUGGGAGCAAACAGGAUUAGAUACCCUGGUAGACUGUCAU